GGCCGUCGUCAGUUCGUACUGUGAAGCAUCCUGUUAAGUCAGGCAACGAGCGAGACCCACGCCCACAGUUGCCAGCGUACUCUCUGGAGUGACGGGUACACUGUGGGGACCGCCGCUGCUAAAGCGGAGGAAGGAAUGGGCAACGGUAGGUCAGUAUGCCCCGAAUAUCCCGGGCUACACGCGAGCUACAAUGGUUGGUACAAUGGGUAUCUACCCCGAAAGGGGACGGGAAUCUCCUAAAACCAAUCUUAGUUCGGAUUGAGGGCUGCAACUCGCCCUCAUGAAGCUGGAAUCCGUAGUAAUCGCGUUUCAACAGAACGCGGUGAAUACGUCCCUGCUCCUU
rnacentral:rRNA from 1 species